UACAGAGGGUGCAAGCGUUGUUCGGAAUCACUGGGCGUAAAGAGUUCGUAGGCGGACCAAUUAGUAUAGGGUUAAAUUCCGGGGCCUAACUCCGGGUCUGCUCUGUAAACGGUUGGUCUAGAGUACUGGAGAGAAUAGCGGAAUACCUGGUGUAGAGGUGAAAUUCGUAGAUAUCAGGUGGAACACCGGUGGCGAAGGCGGCAUCCUGGACCGAGAUUGACGCUGAGGCGCGAAAGCUAGGGGAGCAAACGGG
rnacentral:rRNA from 1 species